rnacentral:rRNA from 1 species
AUGCCGAUUGAUUUCAUUUCCCUGGUCUGCUCCUGCCUGUGGUUGCGUGCACGGCCAAGGAUCCACAGCAGCUGGACGUCGACGAUGACGCACAAGGCGAGGAGGAGCUGCAACUGGGCGUCCAGUCAGAUCCCGACCACCACGACGCCAACAAAAAAAGGUAUGCCAACUGACCGAGGAGGAGGGCAAGGCGUCCUGCUUGAUCCAGCCCAGCAACCGCCCGUGCUGUCCACCACGCCGAUGGCGUCCCCAAGUGCUAGGCCGCCCACACCGCAGCCAUGCUGGUGUCCUGGUUCGGCUACUAAACCUCAUCCGCUGCCCAUGUGUUUUCAGGUCAAGUCCACCACUGGUUGUGGUCUCGGAUAG